CCUACGGGAGGCUGCAGUGGGGAAUAUUGGACAAUGGGGGGAACCCUGAUCCAGCCAUGCCGCGUGUGUGAAGAAGGCCCUCGGGUUGUAAAGCACUUUCAGUGAGGAAGAACGCCUGGUGGUUAAUACCCAUCAGGAAAGACAUCACUCACAGAAGAAGCACCGGCUAACUCCGUGCCAGCAGCCGCGGUAAUACGGAGGGUGCGAGCGUUAAUCGGAAUUACUGGGCGUAAAGCGCGCGUAGGUGGCUUGAUAAGCCGGUUGUGAAAGCCCCGGGCUCAACCUGGGAACGGCAUCCGGAACUGUCAAGCUAGAGUGCAGGAGAGGAAGGUAGAAUUACCGGUGUAGCGGUGAAAUGCGUAGAGAUCGGGAGGAAUACCAGUGGCGAAGGCGGCCUUCUGGACUGACACUGACACUGAGGUGCGAAAGCGUGGGUAGCAAACAGGAUUAGAUACCCUGGUAGUC
rnacentral:rRNA from 1 species